rnacentral:lncRNA from 1 species
UAGCUCCGCUUUCAAUUGCAAAGGAGUAAGGAGACACAUUUUGUGUUCAAUAGUUCUAUUUAGUACAGUAUAAGACGAAGCCCUUUCUAGUUUCAUUCGUUUACUGCAGAACAAAUUCUUUAUUACUGAUUUUUUUUGGUCGAUCGCAUCUAACACCUAAAGGGAUAAAUUCUUAAAUAAUAAUAAUAAUAAUAAUAAUAAA